AUGUCUCUAAGUCUCUAUGGGUCUCAGUGUGGUCUCAACGGGACUUGGCUAAAUGAGACCGUGUGUCGGCAGCUCCGUCAGCGCUGUCUGUCCUUCCCCACAGGGCUGAUGGCGGCUGUGACAUUGGACGUGUCCGGGGGCGGCCUCCAGACGCCCGGAGGAAGCCUCACCCUCGUCUGCAAGGCCUCCGGAUUCACCUUCAGCAGUUAUCCGAUGGAGUGGGUGCGACAGGCACCCAACAAGGGGCUGCAGUGGGUCGCCAGAAUUAGCAAUGAUGGUGAUUACACAGAAUAUGGGGCGGCGGUGAAGGGCCGUGCCACCAUCUCGAGGGACAACGGGCAGAGCACAGUGAAGCUGCAGCUGAACAGCCUCAAGGCUGAGGACAGCGCCACCUACUACUGCGCGAAAAGUGCUGGAAGUUGUUGUUAUGGUGCUUAUUGUGAUGGUGGUCACCACGCUGGUUACAUCGAUGUCACUCUUCCUUUCCUGCUCUCCAGCACAGCCACGUGUGGGAACUCAGCUCCGCGUGUGGGGCAGAGCGGCUCACUGACCCCCACCUCCCUGUGUUGA